rnacentral:rRNA from 1 species
AGGACGAACGCUGGCGGCGUGCUUAACACAUGCAAGUCGAGCGGUAAGGCCCUUUCGGGGGUACACGAGCGGCGAACGGGUGAGUAACACGUGAGCAAUCUGCCCUUCACUUCGGGAUAAGCCUCGGAAACGGGGUCUAAUACCGGAUAUGACCGUGCCAUGCAUGUGGUGUGGUGGAAAGUUCUGGCGGUGGAGGAUGAGCUCGCGGCCUAUCAGCUUGUUGGUGGGGUAAUGGCCUACCAAGGCUUCGACGGGGUA